GGUUAAGUGAAUAAGGGCGUACGGUGAAUGCCUUGGCACUAGGAGCCGAUGAAGGACGGGACGAACACCGAUAUGCUUCGGGGAGCUGUAAGUAAGCUUUGAUCCGGAGAUUUCCGAAUGGGGGAACCUCAUUGUUUUUAUCGACAAUGGUCCACUCAGUGAACACAUAGCUGAGUGGAAGGUAGACGUGGUGAACUGAAACAUCUCAGUAGCCACAGGAAGAGAAAGAAAAAUCGAUUUCCCGAGUAGCGGCGAGCGAAACGGAAAGAGGCCAAACCAGCGUGCUUGCAUGCUGGGGUUGUAGGACUGAUGGACGGGAGUGAAUGAGCUAGUCGAACGCCAUGGAAAGGGCGAUCAGAGAGGGUGACAAUCCCGUAGGCGAAAGCUCAGCCACCUCAUUCAGUAUCCUGAGUACGGCGGUACACGUGAAAUUCCGUCGGAAUCCGCCAGGACCAUCUGGCAAGCCUAAAUACUCCCUAGUGACCGAUAGUGAACCAGUACCGUGAGGGAAAGGUGAAAAGCACCCCGGAAGGGGAGUGAAAGAGUACCUGAAACCGUAUGCCUACAAGCAGUCAGAGCCCGUUAAGGGGUGAUGGCGUACUUUUUGUAGAACGGACCGGCGAGUGACGAUAGCAAGCAAGGUUAAGCUGAAGAAGCGGAGCCACAGCGAAAGCGAGUCUGAAGAGGGCGUUGAGUUUGUUGUCGUCGACCCGAAACCAAGUGAUCUACUCAUGUCCAGGCUGAAGGUGUGGUAAAACACACUGGAGGGCCGAACCCACGUCUGUUGAAAAAGGCGGGGAUGAGGUGUGGGUAGCGGUGAAAUUCCAAUCGAACUUGGAGAUAGCUGGUUCUCUCCGAAAUAGCUUUAGGGCUAGCCUCGGAUGAUGACUAUUGGAGGUAGAGCACUGUUUGAUCGAGGGGUCCAUCCUGGAUUACCGACAUCUGAUAAACUCCGAAUGCCAAAUAGUUUAGUCCGGGAGUCAGACUGCGAGUGAUAAGAUCCGUAGUCGAAAGGGAAAGAGCCCAGACCACCAGCUAAGGUCCCAAAGUUUCAGUUAAGUGGAAAAGGAUGUGGGGUUGCUUAGACAACUAGGAUGUUGGCUUAGAAGCAGCCAUCAUUGAAAGAGUGCGUAAUAGCUCACUAGUCGAGUGACCCUGCGCCGAAAAUGUACCGGGGCUAAACUGAACACCGAAGCUGUGGAUCCAUAGGAUGGUAGGAGAGCGUUCUAUAGGCAGAGAAGCAUGAUCGUGAGGACAUGUGGAGCGUAUAGAAGUGAGAAUGCCGGUAUGAGUAGCGAAAGACGGGUGAGAAUCCCGUCCACCGAAUGACUAAGGUUUCCUGGGGAAGGCUCGUCCUCCCAGGGUUAGUCGGGACCUAAGCCGAGACCGAAAGGGAUAGGCGAUGGACAACAGGUUGAGAUUCCUGUACUUGUUUGAUUUGUUUGAGCGAUGGAAGGACACAGAAGGCUAAGCGGAGCGCGGAGAUGGAAAAACGCGUCCAAGCAAUAAGUGAGAAGGUGAGUGAAAGGCUUGCCUCAGACUUCAUGAGUUGUGACGGGGAGGGAAAUUUAGUACCGAAGCCGCCGACGUCACGCUGUCAAGAAAAGUUUCUAGUGAGAAUCAAACAACCCGUACCGCAAACCGACACAGGUAGUCGAGUGGAGAACACUAAGGUGAGCGAGCGAACUCUCGUUAAGGAACUCGGCAAAAUGACCCCGUAACUUCGGGAGAAGGGGUGCUGACCGCAAGGUCAGCCGCAGUGAAUAGGCCCAAGCGACUGUUUAUCAAAAACAUAGGUCUCUGCCAAAUCGAAAGAUGAUGUAUAGAGGCUGACGCCUGCCCGGUGCUGGAAGGUUAAGAGGAAGGGUUAGCGUAAGCGAAGCUCUGAAUUGAAGCCCCAGUAAACGGCGGCCGUAACUAUAACGGUCCUAAGGUAGCGAAAUUCCUUGUCAGGUAAGUUCUGACCCGCACGAAAGGCGUAACGAUUUGGGCACUGUCUCAACGAGAGGCUCGGUGAAAUUGUAGUACCAGUGAAGAUGCUGGUUACCCGCGACAGGACGGAAAGACCCCAUGGAGCUUUACUGUAGGUUGAUAUUGAAUGUUUGUGCCACAUGUACAGGAUAGGUAGGAGCCAUCGAAGUCGGGACGCUAGUCUCGAUGGAGGCACUGGUGGGAUACUACCCUUGUGGGAUGACCAUUCUAACCCGCGACCAUUAGCUGGUCGGGAGACAGUGUCAGUCAGGCAGUUUGACUGGGGCGGUCGCCUCCUAAAGUGUAACGGAGGCGCCCAAAGGUUCCCUCAGAAUGGUUGGAAAUCAUUCGCAGAGUGUAAAGGCAGAAGGGAGCUUGACUGCGAGACCUACAAGUCGAGCAGGGACGAAAGUCGGGCUUAGUGAUCCGGUGGUUCCGCAUGGAAGGGCCAUCGCUCAACGGAUAAAAGCUACCCUGGGGAUAACAGGCUUAUCUCCCCCAAGAGUUCACAUCGACGGGGAGGUUUGGCACCUCGAUGUCGGCUCAUCGCAUCCUGGGGCUGAAGUCGGUCCCAAGGGUUGGGCUGUUCGCCCAUUAAAGCGGUACGCGAGCUGGGUUCAGAACGUCGUGAGACAGUUCGGUCCCUAUCCGUCGCGGGCGUUGGAAAUUUGAGAGGAGCUGUCCUUAGUACGAGAGGACCGGGAUGGACACACCGCUGGUGUACCAGUUGUUCCACCAGGAGCAUGGCUGGGUAGCUAUGUGUGGACGGGAUAAGCGCUGAAAGCAUCUAAGCGUGAAGCCCCCCUCAAGAUGAGAUUUCCCAUACUUUUAAAGUAGUAAGACCCCUGAAAGACGAUCAGGUUGAUAGGUUUGGAGUGGAAGCUUAGCAAUAAGUGGAGCGGACAAAUACUAAUCGGUCGAGGACUUAUCCAA
rnacentral:rRNA from 2 species